GAUGAACGCUGGCGGCGUGCCUAAUACAUGCAAGUCGAGCGAACAGACGAGGAGCUUGCUCCUCUGACGUUAGCGGCGGACGGGUGAGUAACACGUGGAUAACCUCCCUGUAAGACUGGUAUAACUUCGGGAAACCGGAGCUAAUACCGUAUAAUAUAUUGAACCGCAUGGUUCAUUAGUGAAAUACGGUGUUGCUGUCACUUAUAGAUGGAUCCUGGCCGCUUUAGCUAGUUGGUAAUGUCACGGGUUACAAAGGGUAGGAUGCGUAGCCGACCUCAGCGAGUGGUCGGCCACAUUGGAACUGAACCACGCACAUGGCGCCUACGGGAAGCAGCAGUAGGGAACCUGCCGCAAUGGGCGAAAGCCUGACGGAGCGACGCCGCGUGAGUGACGACGGUCUUCGGAUCGUAAUACUCUCUUAUGAGGGAAAAACAAAUGUGUAAUGAAAUAUGCACGUAUUGACGGUACCUAGUCAGAAAGCACCGGCUAACUACGUG
rnacentral:rRNA from 1 species